AAAGUGUAGAUCUCCUUCCCCUCUACGCAAGGACCUCGAUUUCCAAAAAGAAAAAGAUAAAUAUCCAUCCCUAUCUAGUCUUUUGAUGACAUUAGGCUAUACAAAGGGUGGAUAUAGUCUAGAGGGGUCGGAUAAGGGUUGUAGAGGCGGUUAAAAGAGGAAGAAUCGGAUUUUGACAAAUUUUUCCGGCACUAUGGAAAAAUUGUGCCAAAGUCCCAAAUUCGGCGAAUUAUUUAGGGGGCCAAACGGCCUCCGAUGAUGAUGCAUGUUAUCUCUUUGGAAUCCUCUAUGAGUGUAGAAUGUUAGGUAAAAAUUUCAUCAAAUUUGGAGUCUGAAAAGUGGAUCAAACCCGGGAUGAAGUAACCGGCUGUCGGUCCGGGUUACUGUUUAUCCGGGUGGAAAAAUAGGGGAUUUCAUGCUAUAAUAGAGUAUUAAGCCUAGAUUAAGCUAAAGGGACCUUGUACUCAUGCAAGGGAAUCCCUAGUAUACAUAAAUGAUGAGUUAAUUAAUAGAAAAAGAAAAAGAGAAAGAAAAGAAAAGAUUUAGGGAACGGGGGAGUUGAAUCAAUUAAAGUUCCCUAUAUUAUAAUUGGCACGUAGAUUUAUGGCUCUUGAUACAAGACUAAAUGUAUUGUAAAUGCAUGUCACAGUUAGGCAAGAAGCUAGGGAACAAGAGGAAGUAGUUCUCCACUGCCAGCUGUAGAUUUUUGGAGGCGUAUCAGGGCUGUGCCAGAUUGACAGGUGAGUGGGAGCUUGUACUUUGCACCAUGAGCACAUUCCUUAUUCAUUUUCAUGAAUGUUGCCAAGUGUGACUUGAUUCCACCUGAGCUUAUUGAUUAAUUGUUGUAGUAGAUUCCUCUAUAAUCUUGAUUCUCUAUGCUUGAUUAUUCUGUACAUGCAUUUGAGGGAACAUUGAGAGGAAUUACGAGGGGUUGAUGAGUAAUCAAAUUGAUUCCGAAUUGUGAAAUGACUUCUUUUGU
rnacentral:lncRNA from 1 species